GCAGUGGCUCACACCUGUAAUCCUAGCAAUUUGGGAGGCUGAGGCGGGAGGAUCACUUGAGUCCAGGAGUUUGAGACCAGCCUGAGCAACAUACUGAGAACCCUGUCUCUACAAAAAAGAGUAAAUAAUUAGCUGGGUAUGGUGGCAUGAGCCUAUAGUCCCAGCUACUUGGGAGGCUGAGAUGGGAGGAUCACUUGAGUUCGAGGCUGCCGUGAGCUAUGAUCAUGCCACUGCACUCCAGCCUGGGCAACACAGUGAGACCCUGUCUCAAAAAAAAAAAAAAAAUCAAGGCUGCUCAUAGCCCAUACCAUGGCUGUGGGGAAAGUAGAAGAAAUCACCCCUUCCUCAAAAUGCUUUCUUCCAUCUGCUGAAAAACUCUUGUAAUAGAUGUGUCAAACUAUAGCAUCUGUAACAUGAAAGGUGUUGACCCUGGAGGAGUCCUGAUGAAACCAGAGAUGCCAUCUUGGGAGAGCCUCUGUGUGCCAGGCCCUGUACUAGGGGCCUGCUUAUUUCACAGGUGAGGAAAGUGAGGCUCAAAGGCUAAGUUCAAAGUAUGUAACUGGUAGAUGGCAGAGCCAGGGUUUGAACUCCAGAGCCCCAGUGUUUAAUCAUUAGGCAAGAUCAUCCCCAUCGAGUCACCGUUGGCCAGGUUUACUGCCUCCACAUCGUCUCUAGACCUUAGGGUAAGCUCCUCAAGGCAGGGACCACUUUUCACUCACUGCCAAAGCUCUGGCACUGUUCGGAGUAGGCACAGAGGUAGGCAGCACCAAGUGUUUGUUGGUGGAAGGAGCCUCUUUGCAGGAGUCCUAGGGGCUGAGGCCAGAGUUGUGCUCUCUGCUGAAGCAGGGCAAGGUUUUUAAAGGAGGGCCCGCCUGCCUGAGGGCCAGGGAGGCCAGGGGAGGCCUAUUGCAGUGGUUUGGCUGUUUGUCCCUUAAACCUCAUGUUGACAUUUGAUCCCCAAUGUUGGAGGUGGGCCUAAUUGGGGGAGGUGUUUGGCUCAUGGGUAUGGAUUCCUCAUGAAAAGAUUAAUGCCCUUCCUGGGGGAUAAGUGAGUUUUUUCACUCUUAGUUCCAAGAGCUGGUUGUUAAAAAGACCUGGCACCUCCUCUGACCCCCUUGCUUCCUCUCUCACCCUGUGGUCUCUGCAUACUUGGGCUCCCGAGCGGAAGCAGCCUGAGACCCUCGCCAGAUACAGAUACCAAUCCUGAACUUUCUAGUCAUCAGGAUUGAGUCAAAUAAACCUUUUUCUUUACCCAGCCUCAGUCACUCCUUUAUGGCAACACAUAAUGAACUAGGACACUUAUCAAAGUAGACUUGGCCGGGCAUGGUGGCUCACGCCUGUAAUCCCAGCACUUUAGGAGGCCAAGGUGGGCAGAUCACCUGAGGUCAGGAGUUUGAGACCAGCCUGUCCAACAUGGCCAAUCCCCGUCUC
rnacentral:lncRNA from 1 species